rnacentral:rRNA from 1 species
GAUGAACGCUGGCGGCGUGCCUAAUACAUGCAAGUCGAGCGAACGGACGAGAAGCUUGCUUCCCUGAUGUUAGCUGCGGACGGGUGAGUAACACGUGGAUACCCUACCUAUAAGACUGGGAUCACUUCAUGAAACCGUAUCUAGUACCGGAUAAUAUUUUUAACCUCAUGGUGCAAAAGUGAAAGACGGUCUUGCUGUCACUUAUAGAUGGUUCCGAGCUGCACUAGCUAGUUGGUAAGGUAACGGCUUACCAAGGCAACGAUGCAUAGCCGACCUGAGAGGGUGAUCGGACACACUGGAACUGAGACACGGUCCAGACUCCUACGGGAGGCAGCAGUAGGGACUCUUCCGCAAUGGGCGAGAGCCUGACGGAGCAACGCCGCGUGAGUGCUGAAGGUGUUCGGAUCGGAAAACUCUGUUAUUAGGGAAGAACAUAUGUGUAAGUAACUGUGCACAUAUUGACGGUACCUAAUCAGAAAGCCACGGCUAACUACGUG